GAUGAACGCUAGCGGCAGGCCUAACACAUGCAAGUCGAGGGGUAGAAUUAGCUUGCUAAUUUGAGACCGGCGCACGGGUGCGUAACGCGUAUGCAAUCUGCCUUGUACUGAGGGAUAGCCCAGAGAAAUUUGGAUUAAUACCUCAUAGUGUUAUUGAAUGGCAUCAUUUAAUAACUAAAGUUCCAACGGUACAAGAUGAGCAUGCGUCCCAUUAGUUAGUUGGUAAGGUAACGGCUUACCAAGACGAUGAUGGGUAGGGGUCCUGAGAGGGAGAUCCCCCUCACUGGUACUGAGACACGGACCAGACUCCUACGGGAGGCAGCAGUGAGGAAUAUUGGUCAAUGGGCGCAAGCCUGAACCAGCCAUGCCGCGUGCAGGAUGACGGUCCUAUGGAUUGUAAACUGCUUUUAUACGGGAAGAAACACUCCUACGUGUAGGAACUUGACGGUACCGUAAGAAUAAGGAUCGGCUAACUCCGUGCCAGCCGCCGCGGUAACAC
rnacentral:rRNA from 1 species